rnacentral:rRNA from 1 species
AGCGAACGCUGGCGGCAGGCUUAACACAUGCAAGUCGAGCGGGCAUCCUCGUGGUGUCAGCGGCAGUCGGGUGAGUAACGCGUGGGAACGUGCUCUUCGGUUUGGAAUAACCUUGGGAAACUUGAGCUAAUACCGGAUCUGUUCGAGAGCAGAAAGGCUUAUCUGCUGAAGGAUCGGCCCGCGUCUGAUUAGCUAGUUGGCGAGGUUACGGUACACCAAGGCGACGAUCAGUAGCUGGUCUGAGAGGAUGAUCAGCCACACUGGGACUGAGACACGGCCCAGACUGCUACGGGAGGCAGCAGUGAGGAAUAUUGGACAAUAGGGGCAACCCUGAGCCAGCCAUGCCGCGUGAGUGAUGACGGCCUUGUGGUUGUAAAGCGCUUUUCUCCGGGACGAUAAUGACGGUACCGGAAGAAGAAGCCCCGGCUAACUUCGUG